rnacentral:rRNA from 1 species
AUUGAACGCUUGCGGCAGGCUUAACACAUGCAAGUCGAGCGAGCGUCAGACGGGUGAGUAAUUUCUGGGAAACUGCCUGAUGGAGGGGGAUAACUACUGGAAACGGUAGUUACUACCUAAUACAAUCAGAUGUGCCAAGAUGGGAUUAGCUAGUGGGUGGGGUAAUGGCUCACCUAGGCGACGAUCCUUAGCUGGUCUGAGAGGAUGACCAACAACCGUGGAACUGAGACACGGUCCAGACUCCUACGGGAGGAAGCAAUGGAGACUAUUGCACAAUGGACGCAGGCCCGAUGAAGCUAUGCCGCGUGUGUUAAGAAGGUCGUCGGGUUUUAAAGCAUGUUCAGGGAGGAGGCGUUACUCGAAGAAGAAGCACCGGCUAACUCCGUUCCAGCAGCCGCGGUAAUAC